GACAGAGGGUGCAAACGUUGUUCGGAAUUACUGGGCGUAAAGCGUGUGUAGGCGGCCAUGUAAGUCGGGGGUGAAAUCCCGGGGCUCAACCCUGGAAUGGCCUUCGAGACUGCCGGUCUUGAGUUCGAGAGAGGUGGGUGGAAUUCCGAGUGUAGAGGUGAAAUUCGUAGAUAUUCGGAGGAACACCAGUGGCGAAGGCGGCCCACUGGCUCGACACUGACGCUGAGGUGCGAAAGCGUGGGGAGCAAACAGG
rnacentral:rRNA from 1 species